rnacentral:rRNA from 1 species
CAUCGCCGCGGUAAUACGAAGGGUGCAAGCGUUACUCGGAAUUACUGGGCGUAAAGCGUGCGUAGGUGGUGGUUUAAGUCCGUUGUGAAAGCCCUGGGCUCAACCUGGGAAUUGCAGUGGAUACUGGAUCACUAGAGUGUGGUAGAGGAUAGUGGAAUUUCCGGUGUAGCAGUGAAAUGCGUAGAGAUCGGAAGGAACAUCUGUGGCGAAGGCGACUAUCUGGGCCAACACUGACACUGAGGCACGAAAGCGUGGGGAGCAAACAGGAUUAGAUACCCGCGUAGUCCCUGUCUCUUAUACA